rnacentral:lncRNA from 1 species
AAUCGCGCCGGCGUGCUUCCAGCUUGCUGUCCCGCAGGCUGCCUUUAGGGGCAGGCUGGAGGCCCGCGCCACCCCCUCCCGAUCGUCUUAGCCUCUGCUGUGGGCCGGGACGUUUUUCCUUAGCACCUUGGCCGCAGGUCUCAGGUCCUAGGCGGGUGGGGCGGGGUGGGCUGCGUUUCCCUUUGCUCGGUGCCAAGGGUACCCUGCAUCCCGCGCCUCUGGCUUCUGCACAUUUCCAAACCUUCUUGCUGCGCUUAGCAUUCCCUCCUACCCCCUUCCCGCCUUCCCUUUGUGUUCCUAGACACAAAGUUUCAUUUAGGGUCCGAGUUUGCAGGAGGUCGUCAGGAGGCAUCGUGUCUGCAGUCUGAGCUGAGGAGUUGAGGCAGCACGACUGACCUGCCACCUUGCCUUUGUUGCAAGGGGGAGGAGCCCUGAGCUUUGAAACUGGACAAGCUCUCAGGAGGUCCCUUUGACGGUUAGGUUUGCACACUGAGUCUUGGGCCUGGGUGGUGGUAGGGCCCCCUGGCCCCUCUUCCUAAGGUGGCUUUUACUCCCGCCCUUUACUGGUAAAAUUCCCAGUAGGACAGUUGGCAGACGAGCUGGGCAGGGAGCUGCCAACCAGACCUGGCCCUGUUUCCUGGGUUCCUAGGGUGCUGACUUCUCCCCUACCUCCACUUCCUCUCCCACCUUAGAGCCCCAAGUGAUGGCACCAUCUCUCCUGUCCCGUCUUCCUCAGGCGGGUUGGGACUCGCAGAGCGAUCUAACAAGCAGAGGAGGAAAAUAACAACAGAAUAACUGUAAAGGGAAGGAAUGAGUAAUAAAGCCAACCCAGGCAGGGAGGAGGGCUUUCAUGUUUAAGAGAUGCUAUUUGCUUUUUAGGUCAUAGGCUGCAAAAACAGGCUUUGAUCCGAAGUGGGCGAAUAAUUUAUUGAGAAAGUUUGCGUGGUAGGGAAGAAAAGGGAUGUUUGUUUGAUCUGGAGGCCUCUCGGUUGUCCCAAGUGCUGUUGGCUGUUGUUUCGAGUGGAAAAGCAUUUGGUUCCACAGCAAAUGCCUCCCGGAGGGAAGUCCUUGCCCCAGGCAGCCAGAGCAGUGAAUGUUGGUUUUGAAACUGUUUAGCCAAGGGUCUCCCCAGCACUUUUGGAGCUGAAGUGUUUAAGAGUCGAGUUGUUUGGGCUCAGGAUGCAGCAAAUAUUUCCAGAACAUUUCCCAUCUAACAUGCUUUUCCUUUCCCUAAAUUGCCUGGCUAAACAGCCAAUAGCCCUGAUCCAAGAGGCUGUCGGAAGUCUCCACUUAGCUUUCAUUGACAGCUGAGGUGGCACUGCUGACCCCCAACCCCCAGGUCCUCUCAGAAUCUUGAGGUCAGGCUUUCAACCCUGGUUUCCACGUUCUUGAGGUUGAGCGCAGGGUAUUCUGGUGAAUCGCUGUGCCCGUUAACGCCGAGGUACUUGUCUUUACAGCCAAGAACCAAGUCAGAGGCUUCCAGUCCAAAUUCUUCCCAGCUUAUCCAGCAGGCAGGCUCUUUGUGGGCCUCACAGUUCUCCCUUUGGGUUCUCUGCCGGAAGGCCAGGGCAGAGUUGGGGGGCGGGGGGCUGCCUGGCUUGUCCUGUCCUCCACACGGGAACGUCACUGCGUAGCUCAGCGUUCAGGAACCCAAGAGGGUUCUCAGACAAUCCACAGGAAUCCGGAGUAGCCCAGCCAGAUUCUGGUUUCGUAGGCCUGUGCACUGCACACUCUGGCCCCUGCGGGGGUGGGGUGGAGGCGGGGAGGGGGGGCCCACAACGUUAUUUGGGGUCAGGCAGUCUAGCUUUGAAUGCUGGCUUUGCAGUCACCAGCUGCGGCAGUUGCUCCAUGCCUCAAUUUCUCUAUCUGCACUUGGGCCUAAUAACAGUACCUCUCUCGUGGUGGGUGUCUGGAUUAAGUGCUACGUUGCAAGAAGAAGACUAAACCCGAAGCCAGGCCUGUGGUAAGCACUUGGCUUGGCUAGGCCAGAGAGCCAGCUCCCUUCUCUAAAGAAGGGAUCAGAGGACCCUGCACUUGCCAAUGGGCAGCCAUCCGUGGGAGCGAGCGGACUGAACUUUGCCCUCUCUGAGGUGGAAAGUAGGGUGAGACGGUGCCAAAGGACAAAGUAGACAAAGCCCAUUUCUGUCUCCCAGGAUCCCCUUGGUAUGUCCCCAGAACUGGGAGCAGAGGGUGGGUGUGGGCAUAGUGUUCGAGGGAUCUGGGUGCCCCUUGGGACACUUGCAGUGGGCAGUGAUGGGUGUUGGAGGAGGGCUCAGGCUCCCCUGUGCGUGCGGAAGCAAAUCUGAGCAUCUGUGUGUCACGAACUCAUUUUUGCCACGGCAGCUAGUGUCCCUGAGAAGGCGUUAAAGUUAACAAGAGAUAGGAAAGAGUGGGGCUCUGACCCCCGUUUUUUAUACAGCUUUAAGAGUGUGCCACUCUUGUUUUCUGAACGUCUGGCCUUCCCGACUCAAGCAGGCUCUGAGGACGGGUUUUCCAGCCGAAAUAUCAUUAAAUUGUAUUAGCAUCUUAUUACACACACGCCUUAGCGGUCUGCCUCAGACAGGGAGAGUUUUUGUUUCUCUUUGAAAGAUUGUGUCUGGAAUGGUAAAUUGCCUGCUUGAAAGCCUCCCCCUGGCUCCCCCCUUCUAAGGAGGAGGACGAAAUCCUGCUGUGUGUGGUGGCAGGCGGGUAGGCCUGGUGGCCCCCAGAGAGGAGAGGCCGGAGGCCAGGUUGGGGUGUUUUAACUGCCCAGGGAGCUGCUGCAGUCGCAGGCCUGAAAGGCCCACUGUUUCCAGGGUCAGCUGGAAGGGCGUUCAUGGAGGCCCAGGGUGUUUAUUUGAGUUUAUUUGCGGAGAGGUCUUUAAAGGGGGCUGGCAUUGGGCAUGGGUAUUGCAAGUCCAGACCCGAGGCCCCCACUCAGACCAGUGGCCAGUGCUGCCAAGAAAACAUCUGCCACCAAAUUGCUGCCCUAUUACUGAGUUGACAUUGAUCAUUAGCCAGGAGCCCAACCAAAUAAAGCCUCCUGGAAAAUGUGUGAGGUUAAGAUGGGGAAGGCAGGCUGUGCAAACAGGACAAAAUGUUGAGCCGGGGUGUUUGCUCCCGCAAGCGGCGAGCAGGCCGGCUGGGCUCUGUUGCCCCACACUUCCAGAGGGUGGGGACAGGAGCACACCCAGCACGCCAUGUGUACCAAGCCCCUUUUAUACGCUGGGUGCAACUCCAGGGGGCACUGGGGCGCCAGCAGGGAUCCAAAUGGUUGUGCUUUUUACUGUGGCGGAAUGUACAUUCCCAAGGAGGACAUUCAACAAGUAGAUCAACAAACACAGAUUGUGACGGUUGUUCUGAAGAAGCUGAGUAACAGGGCGGUGGGCUUUCCGUAAAUAAAGCAGCUGGCAUCAACCUCUGUGCCAUCUGAGCUGAAACUUGAAGAAUGGAGAGUCAGACGGGCCUAGACUGCAUGGAAUAUGACAGGCAGAGCGCACACCUGAGCACAGGUCUUGAACCCAUGGACUCUUGGAUUGUUAGAGGGAGGCCAGUUUCGCUGGGAAAGGGAGUGGUGGUCAGUACGCGGGAGCCAGGGGCCGGGUCAUGUGGGGUCUUAUGGUCAGAAGCUGGAGUGUUGUCUUUUGAUCAGCAGGAAGCCUUUGAAGGAUUUUAAAUAGGGCAUGACAUGAUCUGAUUCAUGCUUUUUGAAGAUCAUUCAGGCUGCUGUCUGCCUUUGUGGGGUAGGAUUUCAGGAGCACUUUUCUGUCCCUCUAAGCAGGCACCUUGUGACCCUGAGGGCUUCUCCCGUAGCAGACCUUUGCUUUGGGACAGAUUGGAGGAGCCGGGGGAGGGAAACCAGAGGUGGGGACCGAAUCUCGGCACUCCCUCUCCCAGCUGCAUGUGCAGCCCGGGAUGUGCAGCUUUGGGAAAAGAAUCCUCCCCGACCCCUCUGCUGGGUUGGAGACGGGGUCCAAGGGGCAAAGGGCUGUCCCACAGGGGAGCUCAGACCUCCUGAGGGGCUUCUUAGCCACUGGCAGUAGAGGCUCACCUGAGGCAGGGAGGCCUUUGGAACAGACUUGUUUCAAAGGAAAGCAGCAAAGCGGUGGCUUCCCUCUGAAACCUAGUUAUUAUUCCAAUUAAGCCACCACAAAAUCUGUUCCUUUAAUAACACCCUGCCCGGGAGGACUCUGGGGUGUUUCACGGAGGGCAGGUUGGACAGGGAGCUGGCUGGGGGGCGGGUGCAGGUCUGCACGCCGACAGGUUACUGGUCCUGGGCAGCAGGAACCCGCGUGACGAGCAGGGCAUUGGCAGGCAAGGUGUCCCGCUGUGGGGCACCUUCCUCACCAUAGAGGCCCGCUGCCUCACUGAGGAGCCCACCCUCAGGUGGGCCCUGGUCGGAGGACUGCCCGCCCGGCCUGAGUCGGCCGUGGUGUUAAUAACCAGCACCCAUACGGGGUGCCAACCGCUGUGCUAAGGGUUUUAUGCGGCUCUCACUUACUCACCAGCUGAUUCUGGCCCACGAAUGUGUUUAGUUUGGCCCUGUCGAAGUGUUUGAAAAAUCCUGAAUCAGUUGCCAACAUUUUAAGUUCAGGAGAUGUAUGUAAAAAUCCAGAUCCAGUUUGUGUCCUUUGGGAGGUAUGUCUGGUGCGGAGUGAAGGUGGGAUUGAACUUGACCUCCCUGAAUCCAGAGCUGCUGCUUUUAAGCCAUGGGAGAGCCUGGCUUGGAAGCGCCCUGUUUGCUGGAAGUGGAGAGGCAAGCAGUUCAGGGAGAGGAUUGCAGGGGAAACAGGGAGAGCAUUGCAGGGGAAACAGGUGCGUGCAUUUUGAGCACCUCUUCCUCCACUCCUGCCCCAACUGUGACAGGGCUGUGUUGGCCACAUGUAGGCAAGGGUCAGAGUUGUGUUAAAGUCACCUCUGUCCCCUCAAGCCCCGGAGGACAGCAAAGAUGGGCACCUGUGGGUGGCAGAACAUUAUUGCCCCAUGCAGUCCGUGACCUGAGCCGCCGGCUGCAGCACGGAGGCAGAGGAGUCGAAAGGUCAGGAGCCCGGUCUCCUAAGGCGGACUUCUUCCGAGCACUAUUUUCCUGGCUCAGUCACUUUACUUCUGAAUUUCAUUUUCUUCUCCUGCGAGAGAGAAGCAGCCAUCAUGCCUGGCAGCACCAAAAGGCUGUUCUGAGGUCUCGGUGAGGGGAGGUCUCUUCGUAUCAGCACGCCCUUCUCCCCGAGCCGUGGGCGUGUAGCAAUUUGAGCCCUCUUUCCUGCCUCCCCGACGGCCGCGGUGCUCCGCGCCCGGUAUCCCUCUACCUCCACACCCUCCACGGAGCCCAUGGCCUGCAUCCUUGGAGCUGGGCAGUGAGCAGCCCCAACGAGCCUUCCUGUCCUCCUGAGCCUGCUGUUGGGGGACCCGGGCGGAGAGAAGCUCCUGGUUAAGGUCAAGUUCGAGGCAGGAGGGUCUUUCUAGGUAGCUCAGCGUUCUGAGUGGUCAUACCCCACCUUAGAGAGCCAGUGCUCGCCGGUUUCUGCAAGGCCACAGUAAAAUAAGGUGAAUCCCAGGGCUUGGCAGAAGCAGACUUGGGGUGACAGCAGGUGGCAAAUGAGAUUCUGAGGUGGGGAGGAGCCCGGCUGGCCCGCCACUGGGAUGAGCCCUGCGGCCUUCUCCCCACUGCCACGGGCUCCGUGUCCUUCGCUGUGGACAGUGAGGCAACCCCGUUCCAGACAGGAUCAUGGAGGAAAGCUCUCUGGGUCCCGAGCCCCAGCUCUGUUCUCCCACUCGGACUUAGCCACUGACGAGCUGUGAGACCUGGGAGCGGGUUACCAAGCCAUUCAGUGGGCUCCCCUCCCAGAGGGCACAAGGGCAGGCUCUGCCACCCAGGACUCGGCAGGAUUAGGGGAAAUAGUGGGUGGGAAAGCACUUCCAACAGGCAGGAGCUGACAAGGGCACAAAGGCAGCUCAGUGUGGACUCGGGGAUCAGACCACGUGGAUUCAAAUCCCAGUUCAGCCAGUCAUGGGCAGGACAAGGCACCGAGCCUCCUCAGCAAAUGAGGCUGAGAGCUCACACCUCACUGGGUCGUUAGGAACAUGAGCCGGCCUGGCCGCGUGCGUGGGGAAGGGCUCCGUGUGGGCGGGCUGCCCUUCCUUCCCUGAAGCUCAGUACUCUGGUGGAGAUAAAGUUGGUCUGUGCUUUUACCUGGAGAAGGACACUGGGGAGAGAGGAGGCCGGCCAGCCCUGUCACCCUGGGCCCGGUGUCUCGGGGACCCAGCUUAGAGCCUCCCUGCCACCACCCCAUUCCACUGCCCUCUGGCUGCCCCUUUCAGGAUGUGGCCUCAGUGCUGUCUGGGCUAGCUUGUCCCCUGCCCCAGAUUCCUGGUCCUCCCGGAAGAAUCAGCCUUGUGCCCUGUGCCCUCCCUGCUCGGCACCCAGCUGGGCACCCUUUGGGGUGGAUCCUCUGGUGGGCCUGAGCGGCCUUGAGUAGAAGCUGCAACUGCUCUGAGUUCCCGUCGUGGCUCAGUGCUUAAAGAAGCUGACUGUGACCCAUGAGGGUGCGGGUUCGAUCUCUGGCCUCAGUAGGUUAAGGAUCUGGCAUUGCCGUGAGCUGUGGUAUAGGUCGCAGACACGGCUUGGAUCUGGCGUUGCUGUGACUGUGGUGUAGGCCAGCGUCUACAGCUCCGAUUCGACCCCUAGCCU